ensembl:lncRNA
CGGUAAUAGUAGCACUAACUACCCCAAGUUUUAUUGAUCAAGGGCUUCAGUUACACACAGCACAAAUGUCUCUAGACAUAAUUAUCAUUUAGAGUAUGCUACAAUUUUUCCAGUGACAACAUUUAAACUCAACCUUUAUAAUGUUGGACAGCUUGAUUGUACAUUGGUUUUUUAUUUAAUUUAUUUUUUUGUGCUAUGUUGUAAUUAUUUAACAACCGUUAGUGUUUUAAAGUCUAUUUACUAAUCAGCAAACCUCGUAUCAAUGAUGGCACACAAACGAGUAUUGUAUGUGUUUAAACUGUGAAUUUUUAUUAGUUAUUCCAUGUUAGUCUUUUUUUCCCUCCUUUUCAAACUACUACUGCCCUCAUUUGUUUCAGUUCUUGCUAAUGACUCAGACAACAUAACAAACCAGUAUGGACCUCUUAUGGCAGCUACAUCAAUACUUAAUGUGUGUGCAUGUGUGUCUGUUGACACUGUUGCUGCUCUCUUUAUGUAAAGCAGCUUGCUUACCAUAAAAGGUUUGUCCUUAAACAACAGUGACAUUUAAAUUUUCUGACUGUAAUUGUCUGUUAAAAUGUGACAAGCAACAUUUUUGCACAAAUCCUCAAAGUACAAUUUAUACAGAGAACAUGCUCAUGUUAUUCACGUCCUAUUCUUACUAGUUUUGCACUUUAUAUCUACAAAUGCAUAUUAUGAAGGCUGUUGUAGGUUUAAAAAAUGGAUGUUGAAUUGGUGAAUGAGGAUUAUUUUUAGUGUUAAAGUCAGAAAUGCACAAGAAUCAACUCUAAAAAAAUCUUAUUUGUCAAGGAACUACUUCACUUUGCAUUUGUAGCAGGGUGAACGAGCAUCUGUCAGUCUGUUCCCGAUCCAGUUAUCACCUCAUUCGCACACGUGUUCUUCUAAAUAACCAUGGCUAGAUGUCAUUGUCACUGUAGGCUAAAAUCAUGUAUCAAGUAUUAAGGUUAUUAUUUAAUUGAGACUUAUACUGCAGGCAGAUGGUCCAAGGUUCAUCGAGCCAUGCAAAGUGAAGUGUUAUGGUUCCUUACCCCUUUUUCCUGAGGGUUUUCUUGCUUGUAUAUAUCCAAUUUUAACCUCAGUAAAUUCCUCAGUCUUUCUAAGAUUUCUCAGCAAAUGUGUGAGUGUAUAAUCUCAGAUUAUACCAGGUUUUUUUGUGUGUGUGUGUGCAAAGAGACAAACUUCCUGUUUUUGUUUUGUUUUGUUUUUUCCAGGAACUGGCCGUGUGAUGGUGAGAAGCCUCCUCAUUUUUUUUUCUUUUCUUUUUAAAUUUUUAUUAUUUUUUUUUAAACUAUCAACUGUCUGCCUUAGUGUGUCUUUGUCUUGUUCUUACCUGUACCAGUAACAGCACAUUACAUCAUUAAAGUGCAAUAUACAGGAAAUUGCUGUAGUCAAAGGGGAAUGUACACAUGUGUAGCUUUAUGUGCAUUCUUUAUUAAAGGUGAAUCAUGCUUUAAAA